CUGUGUGUAAGAAUUCCAACUGCACAGCCCUGCACUUUGGCUGUUUGUAAUGAAAAGGGUUGGGAUGAGUCAGGGAGAGCAAGUGUGGGGGCAGUUUCUAGGGCUGUUUUUAAGGAACUGAAAGGAGUGGUGAAAGGAUUUAGGAUCUGUGGGGUGCUUUUGUGAGUUUAUAUAAUGGUUUAGUCAGGGUGGUAAAACUAGGUAUCCAAAGGCGGAAGUACCUAACCAUGCCUAGGAAGGAAAGGAGUUGUUGUUUUGUAGAAGGGAUUGGGGUUUGGGAGAUUAGCCAGACACGAUCAGCAGGGAGAGCAUGUGUGUUUUCAUGAGAAUUAUGCCAAGAUAGGUAACAGAUGAGGAAGAAAUUUGGGCUUGACUGAAGUAAUGGGGGCCGUCUGUGAAGCCUUGUGGCAGUACACCCAGUUCUUCAUCGGGUAAUUGAGCUGAUAUCAGGUGUCUGAAGGAGGCAAGUUUUGAAGAUGUGGGUCAUGAUGGCUGCUGAAGCUUCCACUCCAUAUUUGAAGGUCAGCAGUUCUCAGGAAACCUCUAGCACUUCCAUCCCUGGUGGGAUGUGAUGCCUGUCUCAGUGUAACAUCAGAGAAGGGGUGUACUCUGUGCCCUAGAACUAGGAGCUAACAGAGAAAAACCAAAUGUGAUGUGGAGUCUGCUAGACAGGCUACUGGAGCAAGAGUGAAGCGAUGAAAGUCUCAUCAUUGGGACAUAUUAGGGAGGCAGCAGGUGGCUGAAAUCCUGGUGUGAUGUGGCUGGAUCAUGCAUGAUCUGAGGACUCCUGCACAGGUGACUGCAGGAUGAGUACAGAAUUUUUCUAUAAAUAUACUAAAAUACCAAGUAAGCCAGGAGCAGCCACUAGGCAAACACCAAACCUUGCAUUCCUGGCCAAACCUAUCACAGAGCUCAUCAGGUAAGUUCAAAGACACACCUGUCUUCCCAGCAUUGGGAACUGGAUUGGGGUCUACUCAGAGGCAUGAUGUUGACCAGAUUUUAUGAAACACCCAAGAAUGUAGAGAACAUUCUGUCUUUAAAACCUUGAAUUCAAAACAUAUCAGAGAGAGAUUUACUUCCCUUAUAUGGAUGUCUGUGUUCUCAUUAGGAGAGAAACAAUGAAAAAUGACUUUUCACAAUGCCUGCCUUAGCCGUGAGGCUCAGCCAACCCCCACUUCUAUGUCUCAGCAUUUAAAGGGCAAUUGAAGUCCCACUCCAUGCUAUAUACUCUCAAGAGGUUUUCUCAUUUACCCUUCAGAACAGCUCUGUAAAGAUGGUAUGGUCAGUCCCAUUUCACAGAUGACUAAGCUCAGGCUCACAGAGCCUAAGUCACCCCUCCAGGUAAGUGGCAGGGUUGGAAUGAGGUUCUAUUCCUCACCCUCCCUAGAGAACCCUGAGCAGCUUCCGUUUUAGAAGAUGGGUUUCCAGGGCUUGAGAAAUGGUCAGAUUCCCCCCUGAUAUUGUGGCCCCACAGGUCCUCACUCCACAACCCCUCUGGGUGAUGAGGAAGACAGAAGAGGUGAAAUCCUGCGCUUUGUGCCAUGAGAUCUGGGUGUAGGGCCACAGGAGUUAGCUAAUCCUUGAAGUGGUGAGUGGGCUCAGGCAGAAGCUCAAGUGUUGGCCUUGGGACAGGUGAGCUGGAGAGAAGGAAAGUAACAUGCACUGAACCACUGUAAGCAAAUGCAAUUUACAGCUCAUCUCCUUUAAUCCUAACAACCAUUUAAGAUACUCAUCAUUCUGACCAUUAUUCAGAUCAGUGUGCUGUCUUUAGGGGAGUUUAUGUAAGUCAGGGAAACAACCUAGUUGUCCUGUGAUCAUCAGCUAACUCUGGAAUACUCCAAAGUUGUAUCAUUUUCUCUUGAUGUCUCCAGGGCUCUGAAUGUUCUAAUCUCCCUGCAGGCUGAUAGCGCCUGCUCCUCAUGGUGUUAUUCAACAUUUUUUCUUUUUAAAUUAUGACCUGUAUAUUUUUGUCACAUUAUUGACAUUUAAAACACUUUCUCAGUAAAAAUAAGGCUAAACAUUUUUUAACUUAAGGGAGAAAACAUUUGCAAACUACAUCUCAGAUACUGGGUUAGUAUCCAUGAUUUGUGAACCACAUUCUGUAACAAAAUGACUGGCAGCUGUUUUCAACAGACAUUCUCAUUAAAAUGUACAUGAACAAUAAACAUGUUAAAAUAUGUCAAAACUGGAAGUACUAAUAAGAUGCAAAUAUAAAUCUUCAAGAGAAUAUUAUGUGGAAGAAAAAAGUUGCAAAAAAAAUUAGUACUGUGAUUCACUUUUGGAACAGAUUGUGUGUUUGCGUGCACCUCACCUACAGGGACACAUCUGGAGAGUAUGCACCAUUCUGUUGACAACAGACCCUUUUGGGUCAGAGGGUAGGCUUCAGGCCAGUGAGAUAUGCAGAUUCAUUUCAAUUUAUAAAUAUACUUUUAUACAUUGUUUGAAAUUUUGUAUUUAGGGAAAAAAGCAUUUCAAUAAAUACUUUUGAAUAGAUUGGCAACAGUAAUUGUAAUGUAUUUCAUUAAUUCGAAAGUACAUUCAUUGUAUUCAAUUUUGUAUUGAGACAAAGUAGAUAAAAAUGGAAUUGAUAAUGUCUAUGUGUGUGAGUGUGUGUGUGUGUGUGUGUGUGUAUCUUCUCUUGCUCUAUCACCCAAAUAAACAUACGUGCAGCUUUACCUUUAAUUCAGACAGGGGAUGGAACCAAUAUCAGUUUUAGAUAUCCCAGAAAAUAGUGGAUACAGAGAGACAGCUACCAUGAGCUGAAUAAUUCCGGAAGACUCCAGCUGAUACCUUCUGGGAGCCAAAUUCCCAAACUCCAUCCCUCUUUCCCUCUUACCGAGGCCCUUGGCUGACAGAGAUGCAAUCCUGUCUCUGGGCACCAGAUGGCAUCGAUCUCUUUAUUUUUUUUUUUUUAAUAAAAAGGAGUAUAUUUUGUAGAGUAACGAAGGACUUAAAAUGGUUUGUUUACCAUGAUCAUAAUUCUGU
rnacentral:lncRNA from 1 species